AGAAGAGGUGAAAUAGACUAUGCCUGGCUCCCUGUAUGCCACUCGCGUAGUUACCAAUCAAAACUAUCGAUUGGCUACUGCGGAUGGCGUGCGAGGAGCCAAGCAUGGUUCUCCCUCUCUCUC
rnacentral:pre_miRNA from 15 species